CCUUCGGUGGCGUAGUUGGUAGCGCCUUGGGACGUUGAUGGUGUGUCCUGGGCUCGAAUCCCGGCCAAAGGC